GCCGGCCCCCUCCCCGCACUCGGCGCCAUGGCGGGCGCCGGCAGGAAGAAGCAGGUUCGCUUCGCCCGGCCGGAGGCGGAGGACACGCGGCGGGGCGGUGAGGGGCCGGCGGCGGAGCAGAGUCUCCUCCCGGAGUCCGCGCCGCGGCCUGAGGUGAUCGUAGCCGGCGGCGGCAGGAGCCGGGCCGGGGAGGGAGCGACGCUGCUGCUGCGAUGGUGCAUCUCCGGGGUGCUGUGCUCGGCCUUCCUGGGCCUGGGUAUGAGCAUUGCUGUCCUGGGACCUACAUUUCAAGAUUUGGCUGCAAAUGUGAAUAAAAAUGUCAGUGAUAUUUACUACAUUUUCAUGGGUCGUUCUCUGGGGUACCUUGGUGGUUCAGUGAUUGGAGGGAUUAUCUUUGACUGCAUGAACCCUCAUCUCCUCUUGGGGUUAACCAUGCUGGGAACAGCAGUUGGUCUUUAUGCCAUACCAUGGUGUAAGAGAGCGCUAUUGUUAACUGCCCUGAUGUCAGUCAUUGGGACUUCCGUGGGUGUUCUAGACACAGGUGGAAAUGUCCUUGCAUUGAAUAUAUGGGGAGCAGAGGCUGGGCCACAUAUGCAGGCCUUACACUUCAGUUUUGCACUGGGUGCUGUUGUGGCCCCUAUCCUGACAAAAAUGGCAUUGAGCAACUUCAUAUCUCCUAACGUCCAAACAGAAGAUGAAAAGACAAACGACUCUGUUCCGAGUGAUAUACCUAAUGCACUGUUUGGAUCAGCACUGAAACUGCAUUCUAAUGUGAGCUUUAUGUGGUCCUACAUUGUCAUAGGGACCUAUAUUUUGAUAGUUUCUUUGUUGUUUGUUGUUCUGUAUUCAAGGACCGGCUUAGCACGAGAUAAAGCAAAAUCUUCUCUGCAGAAAUGUCAAAUUGCCAAAUACCACUAUGCCCUUCUCAUUCUCCUUUUCCUUUUCUUCUUUUGCUAUGUAGGAGCAGAGGUCACCUAUGGCUCUUACAUUUUCAAUUAUGCAGAGGUUUAUGCAGACAUGAAAGAAAGUGAAGCAGCUAGUUUGAACUCCCUUUUUUGGGGAGCAUUUGCAGCUUGCAGAGGACUGGCAAUCUGUUUUGCUACCUGUUUAUACCCUGGUACUAUGAUUCUGCUGAGUGUCAUAGGUUCCACUGUCUCUUCUCUGUUCCUGGCACUGUUGAGUAAGCAUCCAAUUUCGCUCUGGAUUGGGACAGCAGUCUAUGGUGCGUCAAUGGCUACCGUCUUUCCCAGUGGCAUUUCCUGGAUUGAACAGUACACCACCAUACAAGGAAAGUCUGCUUCUCUCUUCGUAGUUGGUGCUGCCUUGGGGGAGAUGUGCAUUCCAGCAAUGGUUGGGUUUCUUGAAGGAAAACUUCACAAUGUCCCUGUGAUGAUGUAUGCUGCAUUGGGAACAUCUGUAAUGACAGCAGUACUAUUUCCUGUGAUGUAUAAAUUAGCCACUUCUCCCAGUGAGAGUAAGUUAAAAGAUGGUGGUGGGAGCGAGGACCAGAAAGCUUUGUUGUCCAACUUUGAACUUAAUGAAGAUGAGGAAGAUGAAGAGGAUGCAGGAGAAUGGAAUGAAGCAGACUUUGAAGUAAUUGAAAUGAAUGAUACAGUGAGAAACUCUGUGGUAGAGACAUGUCAAAAGAUCCCAGGGGAGUCUCCAGCUAAAGCGUCCACACAGCCACCUUCAAACAUAUUUAGUUCUUCUCCAGUGAUUGCUCUUAGCUCCCCUGGGAGAAAGCAGUCCAGCAGAGACAGAGAGAAGAAUGAUUAAAGUAAAAUCUAGGCUGCUUACUUGAAAUAACUGCCUGGCUUCUGUAAGGUAAUAAACACAAUCAAAUUAGCUGUAUUUGUAAAGUGAUUCAGAAUUUUAAUAGUAGUAAAAAUCCAAGUGUUUCUGCCUCCAUGCUUGCCAAAUCCGUUUAUGCUUAUUCAUUUUAGUCUGCAGCCAUGCAUCCUGGAGUGAAAAAGAAUGUGUAUGUUGGACAUAUUACACGGAUUCCCUCUUUAGUAUGAUCAGGUGUUGUGUCAUGGAACUAAAAGCAAUUUAGACUAAACAUAUGGGAAACAUUUCUUAAAUGUAAACAAAGAAAAUGAUGGGCACCCUAAUGUAACUUAAAGUGAGACUGUUCAGAGUAUUUUAAUCAUAUUUUUAGAACAAUUCUGCAUUGGCGGGAAUAGACCAGGACACACAUUCAUCUUAAUUGAUCACCCUCAUACAAAUCAGAGAAGAAUCUUGAACUUCUUGAAUCUAGUGAAGGGGAUAUUUCCAUGGCACUUAAAGUCUGGAGAAACUGAACCACCCACUUGUUCCACCACAGGAGAUAGGAAAUAUCAUGGCCUGUGCUGAAGGACUGAAUCUCAGUCCUGGAGACUCCAGCAACACCAGUGUACUACCUCCAAAUUCCAUUAGUAAUGAAUGAGAGGGGACGUUGUGCAACAGAAUGGAUAUCUUUCUAAAAGACUGAGUUAUAGGACAAAUAGAAGUUAUGGGCUUGAAGCCUGGAUUACAAGUUGAUAUUUGGUGACCUGUAUUAUACAGAUGAUCAGACCAGAUGCUAAUAAUUGUCCCUUAUAGUCUUAAAAUCUAUCAAUCUAUGACUUCCCUAAGCAAGCAUCUCCAUAGUCAUGUACUGUUUAGGAUCAGAGACUUCCAAUGAAACAAUUUUACAAUAUUUUGCUUCUAACAGCUUCCUGUCUCUGAAAUACUUGUAAAUAAUGUACUCUUCAUUGCUGAUUUUAUGAUAGACCUUGAAAAAAAGAUGACAAUGAGGAUUUGUGAACAGCUGCUUUUCUUUCUUGAGUUUUGAGCUGAUUUUUCUCCCAGGUAGCUAAAAUAUUAAAACCAAAGGCUCUGCUUGUUACCUCGUGAUAGGUAGAUUGACCCAUGAGAAUAGCAACUGCAUGAAACAAUAUUACUGUUUUGACCCAGUGGAAGAAAGACAAGUCUGCUAAUUAGUUGGUUUCC